rnacentral:rRNA from 1 species
CCUACGGGAGGCUGCAGUGGGGAAUAUUGCACAAUGGGGGAAACCCUGAUGCAGCAACGCCGCGUGAGUGAAGAAGUAUCUCGGUAUGUAAAGCUCUAUCAGCAGGGAAGAAGAUGACGGUACCUGAGUAAGAAGCCCCGGUGAACUACGUGCCAGCAGCCGCUGAAAUACGGAGGGGGCAAGCGUUAUCCGGAUUUACUGGGUGGAAAGGGAGCGUAGACGGGGAGACAAGUCUGUAGUGAAAGCUCGGGGCUCAACCCCGGGACUGCUUUGGACACUGCCUGACUUGAGUGCUGGAGAGGUAAGCGGAAUUCGUGGUGUAGCGGUGAAAUGCGUAGAUAUUAGGAAGAACACCAGUGGCGAAGGCAGCUUGCUAGACAGUAACUGACGUUGAGGCUCGAAAGCGUGGGGAGCAAACAGGAUUAGAUACCCCAGUAGUC